rnacentral:rRNA from 1 species
GCCCGCGGAGGAUUAGGUAGUCGGAAGGGUAACGGCCUCCCAAGCCAAUGAUCCUUAGCUGGUCUGAGAGGACGUUCAGCCACACUAGAACUGAGACACGGUCUAGAGAUUUACGGAUCGCAGCAGUGAGGAAUUUUAGACAAUGGGCGCAAGCCUGAUCUAGCUCUAUUGCGUGGGUGAUGAAGGCUCUUUUGUUCGUAAAACCCUUUGAUGAAAGUAUGAUAAUGACAUCAUUUCAAAAACAAGUCCCGGCUAAAUCUGUGCCAGCAGCCGCGGUAAUACAGAUGGGGCAAGCGUUAUUCGGAAUGACUGGGCGUAAAGGAUACGUAGGCGGUGUUUGAAGUUGAAAAUGAAAUUCAAGAGCUUGACUUUUGAUGUGUUUUCAAAACCAAAACACUUGAGUAUGAAAGAAGAAGGUAGAAUUUCUCGUGGAAGAGUGAAAUCUGUAGAGAUGAGAAGGAAUACCAAAAGCGAAGGCAGCCUUCUAGUUCAUCACUGACGCUGAGGUAUGAAGGUAUGGGGAGCGAGCGGGAUUAGAUACCCCGUUAGUCCAUACAGUCAACGAUGUCGGUUCCCUCUCGUGGAUAUGCUGCGGGGGGACAGCUAACGCAGAAACCGACCGCCUGAGGAGUACGGUCGCAAGAUUAAAACUUAAAGGAAUUGACGG